UUACCAAAAUCAGUGAAGUUACAGAGACCUUAUACAGCCUAGGCGUUGGUUGCAAAGCUGUUUUGAUUUUCUUGAGCUGUUUUUCUCUGGAACUGUUCUACAUGAAUUGAUGAUUUAUACGCAGUCAGUGUUAUGUACAAAUUGCAUCUCUAAAGUUAUUUAGAUAUCAGAGCUGUUGUUGAAAUCCUUUUGGAGAUAAGUACUUGACUCUGGUUUUGGAUUUAGCUCUUAGUCACGAAGAAUUUUCUAACUUUUUUCUUUCAGGAAAAAUAGGAGUUUCCCUUGGUUGGUAAAUAUUAGAGUUUGCUUCUGUCUUCCUGGGGAUGCCUGGGGAUGCACAAACCAGCAUGUCUCUGCUCUAUUUCCUGGCACUUAUUUACCAACCGCAGAACUACCAUCCAGGGAAAUAGGACUCUGAUCCUGCAAGCACUUCAUGAAGUUUUUUAACUUUAACUACACAAAUAAACUUGUUGUGGUCAGCAGCA